CGUAACAAGGUCUCCGUAGGUGAACCUGCGGAGGGAUCAUUACACAAAUAUGAAGGCGGGCUGGAACCUCUCGGGGUUACAGCCUUGCUGAAUUAUUCACCCUUGUCUUUUGCGUACUUCUUGUUUCCUUGGUGGGUUCGCCCACCACUAGGACAAACAUAAACCUCUUGUAAUUGCAAUCAGCGUCAGUAACAAAUUAAUAAUUACAACUUUCAACAACGGAUCUCUUGGUUCUGGCAUCGAUGAAGAACGCAGCGAAAUGCGAUAAGUAGUGUGAAUUGCAGAAUUCAGUGAAUCAUCGAAUCUUUGAACGCACAUUGCGCCCUUUGGUAUUCCAAAGGGCAUGCCUGUUCGAGCGUCAUUUGUACCCUCAAGCUUUGCUUGGUGUUGGGCGUCUUGUCUCUAGCUUUGCUGGAGACUCGCCUUAAAGUAAUUGGCAGCCGGCCUACUGGUUUCGGAGCGCAGCACAAGUCGCACUCUCUAUCAGCAAAGGUCUAGCAUCCAUUAAGCCUUUUUUUCAACUUUUGACCUCGGAUCAGGUAGGGAUACCCGCUGAACUUAAGCAUAUCA
rnacentral:rRNA from 1 species